GUAGGCAUAGUUUAAUCUAAAAUACUAGAUUGUGAUUCUAGGGACAGAGGUUAAACUCCUCUUGCCCACC
rnacentral:tRNA from 1 species